UACAGAGGUCUCAAGCGUUGUUCGGAUUCAUUGGGCGUAAAGGGUGCGUAGGUGGCGCUGUAAGUCAGGUGUGAAAUUUUCGGAGCUCAACUCCGAAAACUGCAUUUUGAUACUGCGGUGCUUUGAGGACUGGAGAGGAGACUGGAAUUCACGGUGUAGCAGUGAAAAUGCGUAGAUAUCGUGAGGAAGACCAGUGGCGAAGGCGGGUCUCUGGACAGUUCCUGACACUGAGGCACGAAAGGCCAGGGGGAGCAAAACGGGG
rnacentral:rRNA from 1 species